ACCAUGGCGAGUUGCUCCUGCGCUCGCGACCAAGCGACCAGGAGGCUGAGCGCUGCAGCGGCGGCAACAGCGGCAGCUCUAGCUGUGGUGGCGACCACCCCACUUCUCCCCUUGGGCACCUCGACCGCACUCAUUGGGACCGGGUCGUCUUGUCCGGGAGCCAUGUGGCUCUCCACGGCCACUGGCUCCCGGUCAGACUCGGAGUCCGACGAGGAGGACCUCCCCGUCGGGGACGAAGUCUGCAAACGCGGCUACCUGCGGAAGCAGAAGCAUGGGCACAGGCGCUACUUCGUGCUCAAACUCGAGACCGCCGACGCCCCGGCUCGGCUGGAAUACUACGAAAAUGCCAGGAAGUUCCGGCACAGUGUCCGCGCCGCGGCGGCUGCGGCUGCGGCGGCCGCCUCUGGCGCCGCGGUCCCCGCGCUCAUCCCGCCGCGACGCGUGAUCACCCUGUACCAGUGCUUCUCCGUGAGCCAGCGAGCCGAUGCCAGGUACCGCCACCUCAUCGCCCUCUUCACCCAGGACGAGUACUUCGCCAUGGUGGCCGAGAACGAGUCGGAGCAGGAGAGCUGGUACUUGCUGCUCAGCCGCCUCAUCCUCGAGAGCAAGCGCCGCCGCUGCGGCACGCCCGGCGCGCAGCCGGAUGGAGAGCCGACCGCGCUGGCGGCUGCAGCGGCGGCGGAGCCACCCUUCUACAAAGAUGUGUGGCAGGUAAUAGUCAAGCCCAGGGGGCUGGGGCACCGAAAAGAGCUGAGCGGCGUGUUCCGGCUUUGUCUUACCGACGAGGAGGUGCUGUUCGUGAGGCUGAAUACCGAGGUGGCCAGCGUGGUCGUCCAGCUCCUGAGCAUCCGUCGCUGCGGGCACUCAGAGCAGUACUUCUUCUUGGAGGUCGGUAGGUCCACCGUCAUUGGUCCCGGGGAGCUCUGGAUGCAGGUCGAUGACUGUGUAGUGGCCCAAAACAUGCACGAGUUGUUUUUGGAGAAGAUGAGAGCCCUGUGCGCAGACGAAUACAGAGCCCGCUGCCGCAGCUACAGCAUCAGCAUCGGCGCCCACCUGUUAACCCUGCUGUCCACUAGGAGGCACCUGGACACGCUGCCGCGUGAGCCCGGUGGCUGGCUGAGAAGGUCCCGCUUUGAGCAGUUUUGCCACCUCAGGGCCAUCGGGGACGGGGAAGACGAGAUGCUCCUCGCCAGGCGCUACAUGACACCCAGCGAACCUGUGCUCCCCUCCAGGCGAGGAAGACUGCACCUGCCCAGAGCGCGCCGCUCCAGGAGAGCGAUUUCGGUUCCAGCCAGCCUUUGCCGCCGCCUCCCGCCCAGCCCGGUGCGUGUCCCGCAUCCCGCCGAAGUCCCGAACGACAGAGCUUGCCUGUCUCCUGAAGCUUCUGGCUCUGGCAACUCUGGGGAUGAAGGGAGUCCUCAGGGCCAAGAGGGACAGGAAGGAAACGGAGGUGACUACAUGCCCAUGAACAAUUGGGGCUCGGGAAAUGGCCGGGGCUCCGGAGGUGGCCAGGGCGCAAGUGGCCAAGGCUCCAGUAGCCAGAGUUCAGGGGGAAACCAGUGCUCAGGUGGGGGGCAGGGCUCUGGAGGUGGCCAGGACUCUAGCGGUGGCCAGGGCUCAGGGGGCCAGGGUAUGGGAGGAAACCAACGUUCAGGAGCUGGCCAAGGCACUGCAGGUGGACACGGCUCUGGCGGCGGCCAGGGAGCCGGAGGUGGACACGGCUCAGGCGAUGGGCAGGGACCGGGCGAUGGCCAUGGCUCCCGCCGUGGCAAGAACUCUGGAGGGGGCAAAGGCUCAGGAGGUGGGAAGACUUCCGAUGGCAGUGGUGACCGUGGAAAAUCUCUGAAGAAAAGAUCCUACUUUGGCAAACUAACUCAAAGCAAGCAGCAGCAGAUGCCACCACCUCCACCUCCUCCACCCCCACCCCCACCAGCGGGAGCAACUGGUGGUAAAGGGAAGUCUGGGGGAAGGUUCCGACUUUAUUUUUGUGCCGACAGAGGAGCCCAGAAAGAUCGCAAGGAGGCCAAAGAGGUCAAGGACAAGGCAGACAGCCCAGAAGGUGCAGCUCGGGGCCCCCUCAGAGCCAGGGCUUUUGAUGAAGAUGAGGAUGACCCCUAUGUGCCAAUGAGGCCAGGGGUGGCUGCCCCUCUUGCAAGCUCUAGCGAUUAUAUGCCAAUGGCUCCCCAAAACUUCUCUGCUUCAAAACACCACUCUCGAUCACCUUUCGAAGAUUCAAGGGGGUACAUGAUGAUGUUUCCUAGGAUGAGCCCACCACCAGCCCCAAGUGCCCAGAAAGAGCCAGAUCCCGAGAAGGAGGAUGAGUCAAAGGACAAUGACAGUGAGAGUGACUAUAUGUUUAUGGCUCCUGGAGCCGGUGCAAUUCCAAAAAACCCCAGAAAUCCUCAGGGCGGCUCUUCCUCUAAAAGCUGGAGCUCCUACUUCUCUCUGCCAAAUCCUUUUCAGGGCUCCCCAUUGGGACGGAGUGACCACAGUGAGUAUGUACCAAUGUUACCUGGAAAAUUCUUGGGAAAUAGCCUGGACAAGGCACCCACGUCUAACUGGGGCCCCAAACAUGCAGUUUCAAAGCCUCCAGUGGAGGGGUCAUUCUCAAAGCCUAGGGAUGGGGGGACAUGCUGGAAGCCUUCAGAUAAUGGGCCCCCCAAGAACAAGGCCAAAAGACCCAACCGUCUCUCUUUUAUUACAAAAGGAAAUAAAAUCAAGCCCAAAUCACAGAAGCCCACACGUGCGCAGAGAGAAGCUGACAGCUCUAGUGUCUACGUCAACAUUGACUUCACUAAAAGCGGGAGCAAUAUGCCAGCCCCCUUUAUUCAAGGACUGCCCGGUUCAUGGGGGAUCAUGGCUGGCCCCAGACCGUCAGCCUUUUCUCACUAUGUGAACGUUGAGUUCGAAGUGCUAUUUCCACACCCGGCACAAAACUUCUCGCAUCUUUUCAGAGCUAUUCCAGGUGCCAACCCCCUUUUCCUGGAAGGUGCUAGGUGGCCACUCGUGCCUCUUCCUCCCAGCGCCACAGGUGGCAGUGCCAGUGAGGAAGAGGGUGACUACAUCGAAGUGAUUUUCAACCCAGCAAUGACACCGGCCGUGCCUUUCGGUGACAGCGCCAUCCGCUAUGACGCGGAAACAGGUCGAAUCUAUGUGGUUGACCCCUUUUCCGAGUGCUGUAUGGACAUUUCUCUCUCCCCCAGCCGCUGCUCCGAACCGCCACCUGUAGCCAGGCUGCUGCAGGAAGAACAACAGCUGGAGCGGAGGCGCCCGCAAGACCGUUCGCAGAGUUUCUUUCCGUCCGCCCGGGCGGCGGUCUCGGCUUUCCCCACCGACAGUCUCGAGAGAGACCUCCCCGCCUCCCUUGCCUCGGCCGCCGCAGCCGCCGCCGCCGCCUCCGCCGCCGCGCCGGCCUUAGCUUUGGGCCGGGCGUUAGCCGCCGCCUCCGCCCUCGCCGCGGCCCCGGGCAUCGGUGCAGCCGCCAGGGGCUUGGAGGCCGCUGCUGGGUUUGACUCCGCCUCCGUCCGCUGGUUCCAACCUGUUGCAGGCUCGGCAGCCGCCGCCGCCGCCGCGGUGCGGGGGACCCAAGCCGUGGCCGCUGGCUCGAACCCGAGAGCCCGGCACCCAUCUGCAGACUUGGCUGGAGGUGAGAACUGGGCCACAGCGGCCGUCUCCCCGCCGCCGCCGCCACCGCCGCCUCGCCGCCCGGUGCCGAGUCCCCCUGAGCAACAGGUUUCUGACAACGACGACGACGACGACGACGAUACCUACGUGAGAAUGGACUUUGCCAGACCUGACAACAAGAAGUCUGACUCUCCCCGCAGAGAUUGCCAAAAAUGAACCAGAAUCCUCUACAGUCAUCGGAAGGCAGCUGUUUGGGGGAACAAACUCAGGCUUCUUUAGAAUGACACAAAAAUCUUCAUGUUAGGAUAGAUGAGAGUGACCAGUACAUGGAGAAAACAAUAUUGUGUGUGAUGUAAAAAAGAACGACUGUUGUUAACCUGUCAGCUUGUUGACUAAGGGAAUGUUUAACAGUUGUAUGCUGCCUUGUAAUUUGCAAAACACAUUCACAUGGUGGGGAGGAGGAUAGUAGGUACUGGAAUUGAAGCUGCUGUUGAGAAUUUUCCCAUGGCCAAAGAGAGUGAUUACAUUGCCACAAAAAAACACAUUUUAGAAGAAAAAUGAUGAGUUUCAUCUUUGUCUACUCCAGAUCUGCCGAAAAGAAAGAAAAUUCACAGGCUUCUGAAUAGAAAACAGCCUGAAUUUCUAAAAGCCGACAAAUGGAUGCUGGCAGGUGAAUGAUCCUAACACUGAUCAUUCGUACUGCUGCCUUAUGGAUCAAGUAAUUUUGAACCAAGAAAUUCACACUAUACUUUGUUUUUAUUUUCUGCUUUCCUCUCCCCCAACCCGGCAAGUCUCUUUGAAAGGAAACAAACACUAUAAAAGGAAGCCUCUCAUAACUCUUUCCUUUCCCUUUUUUUAAAAAAAGUUACUUACAUAUGUGUAAAUGUGGCCAACACCAGUUUUACCAACAUAUGAUACUUAGAUUUAGUUUCGAAGCUGAAAACCCUUUAAACAGGAGCAGAAAAAGAAAGAAGUUAUGUUCAUGAGAACAUAGGUAUGAUCUGGAAUCUUUCUUCUGAGUAGUACAUACAUAAAACAUUUCUUGAUCAAGGAGUUAAAUGUUAACUGGACUGAUACCUUGAUGGGACAUAUUCAAUAUCUUAAAAAGACAGGACCAAAGGGCAGAUUGUCUCAGUUUUUGCUCAUUAACAAAACUAUAACAUUCUGUCCGCAUUAAAUGUCAACUGAACUUAUAUCUUGAAUGAACAUUUUCAACUCUUUAAAAAAGGCAGAACCAGGGAACAGAUUAUCUGCUCACACAUAAUACUGCAAUGUUCUGCCUGCAAAUCAAUUGAGCAUUUCCAAAACCAUUUUUUUUUACUUUUGAAACCUACAUUUUUCACCUUAAAGAAGCAAAGUUAUUCCAAGCUUCCUCACAAAGCCUGUCUCUGCCUCUCUGGGCCUCCCCCUCCCCCUCUGCCCCGCCCCGAGUGACCUCCCCUCCCCCCCAUUCUUCCCCUAUCGCUGGCUCUCUGCUGGACCCAUAUUUUCCCUCCUAUGCCCAGGGCUCCUAUAAAGAAAUCAGUUUCCCAUAUUCAAGAAAUUAGUGUAUAUGCAUCAAUCAAUAUUCGGAGUAAAACAAGCCAAAAAGAACCUCUUAUAAGGUCUUGUUUUCCUUUGGAUAAUGAGCCUCUAUAAGAUGUGUCAAAAAUUUUUUUAAAAAAUCAGAGCAAGCUUCCUCCUCCUGUUUUUGCUUGCCUCUGAUGGAAACUGAAUUAAGAUUUUAGGAACCUGGACCUUUGAGAACAUGACAAUAACAGGUGGUGAUCACAGAAGAUAGGUACAAAGGUCUUGAAGCUUGCUUAGAGCUUUGUUACGUGGUGGCACACAACUCACCACUUGUGCCGUCACUGGCAAACCUCACCAUAUCACAGAUGGGUGUGAGUGUCCAUAUAGUUGUGCAAGUGCUAGUGUGUGCGCGUGCACACAUGCGUGUGGAUGCACACCUUCGUGUACCUGUGUACAUGUGAUUGUAGGUGUACCUGUUGUCUGUAACUCUGUUAACAAAAAAAACAAAUCGCUUCGCAUUUAAUGUGCCACUUUGCAGUAGUGUAAUAUUGACCUGAAGUUCUUUGCUACUCGAUUUUGACAUCUUUGAGUGUGUACUCCUAUCUUCAAGCCGGCUUCUAGUACAUGUGGCUACAUUAACUUUUUUGCAGAACCGAGUUGACUUUUGUUGUUUUUCCUUGCCUACCAACCAGAGGGAUGGAGGGGGCUCUUUUUUUCCCUUGAGAAUGGCGCUGAGGAGAGGAUGGAGCUGCAGUCCCCAGUCGAUGAAGGAGUGCCUGGGGACUGCAAGAGCAGUGAGUUUCGUCAGUUCCUUUCAGACUCUUCUCUUUUCCCCACCUAACUGAAUAAUUCAGUGUGGCUUUUGUCCAUUAUGGUAACAGUGCACUCUCUACAUAGGCAGCCUUUCUGCAAGCCUUCUGUCACCAUUUUUAUUUUCAAGUAAGUUUUAAGUCACAAUCGUUCAGAAUUGUGGGAAGAAAAGAUGAUUUGGGGGAAAAUGCUAUAUUGCUUUUAUUUGUAUAUUAGGUUCAGGGGCUGCCAGCAGACAGGGUACAGCACAGAUGUUAACACUUGCUGAAUAAAUAAAUGGGAAACCUCAUACACAACAGUACACACAAGCAGUCACAGGUACAAAUAGUCACAGGUACAGCAUAACAAAUAUGCAGUUUCUUUGACACUACUUCUUAGUUUACAGACACAACUAAUUUAUUCAGUAUUGUGCUGGAAGAAUCCUUUUGGAAUAUGUGUACCAACAUAUCACGUACCUUCCAGCUGCCAGAUUAUGCUGCUGUUCAGGAAAAACAGUGAUGGAACGAUUUGUGUGUGUGUGUGUGAGAGAGAGAGAGAGUGACCUCUACAUUUAAUUUAGUAUCAGACAAAGUCACUUGGUCAGUAAAAACUAAAACUUGACAGUUGCAGUGGCUCAUUACAUUUGCUGUUUCUGCUUUAAGAUCUGCUUUUGAGUUGCUCUGGCUUUGUCUUCCGUUGUAAAUACUCUUAGACUCUCAUUUCCUUGUAAACAUCUCAUUUGCAGUUUUGGGAGACAAACUUGCAACUUUGUAUAGUGUUUAUAUAUAUAUAUAUACAGAUAUAUCUGACUUGCCCUUCCAUAGAGCUACUCGCAAUAAAUGUGUCCAUGAAA